AUUAGAUACCCCACUAUGCUUUGCCCUAAACAUCGAUAGUUUUAUACAUCCACUAUCCGCCCGGGUACUACGAGCAACAGCUUAAAACCCAAAGGACUUGGCGGUGCUUUAGACCCACCUAGAGGAGCCUGUUCUGAAACCGAUAACCCCCGUUAAACCUCACCUUUUCUUGUUCUACCCGCCUAUAUACCGCCGUCGUCAGCUUACCCUAUGAAGGCCCCUUAGUAAGCAUAAUUGGCACAGCCCAAAACGUCAGGUCGAGGUGUAGCGUAUGAAAAGGGAAGAAAUGGGCUACAUUCCCUGAUACAGCGAAUUACGAAAAAUAUCACUGAAACGUAUAUCUAGAAGGAGGAUUUAGCAGUAAGCAGAAAAUAGAGUGUUCUGCUGAAACCGGCCCUGAAGCGCGCACACACCGCCC
rnacentral:rRNA from 1 species